rnacentral:lncRNA from 1 species
CGCCACUGUCGCGCUCAAGGAGGUCCACGACGCCGUCAGCGCCCGCCGCGAGGCGGAGGCCCUCCUCGCCGUCUCCCCUUCUCCGCACGUCGUCGCGCUCCUCGACCACUUCCCAGGCGGCGACUGCGACGACGAUGUCCUCGUCCUCGAGUGGGUCCCGCUCGACCUCGCCGCCGUCGUGCGCGACGCCCGGAGGCGCGCGGCCGGCGGAGGAGGCGGCAUACCCACAGCGCAGCUCAAGCGGUGGAUGCUGCAGGUGCUCGAGGGCGUCGCCGCGUGCCACCGCGCCGGCGUCGUGCACCGCGACCUCAAGCCCGCAAACCUGCUCAUCUCCGAGGACGGGGUGCUCAAGGUAGCCGAUUUUGG